UACGAAGGAUGCGAGCGUUAUCCGGAUUUAUUGGGUUUAAAGGGUGCGUAGGCGGCCUUAUAAGUCAGUGGUGAAAUCCUAUCGCUUAACGAUAGACGUGCCAUUGAUACUGUAGGGCUUGAGUACAGAUGCCGUUGGCGGAAUGUGUCAUGUAGCGGUGAAAUGCAUAGAUAUGACACAGAACACCGAUUGCGAAGGCAGCUCGCUAAAUUGUAACUGACGCUGAGGCACGAAAGCGUGGGGAUCAAACAGG
rnacentral:rRNA from 1 species